GAGGCGGCGGCCGCGCCGCUAUGGGGCGGUGCAGGGCGGCGCGGGUGUCCUUCCGCUGCGAGGGGCGGCUGCCCGGGGGUAUGCGGCCCUGCCGGGGGGAGCGGCAGCGCCCGGGAGGGGGCCGUGGCUCGCGACACCGGGCGCCGGUGUCAAGGCUUCCCCCACAGCGGCAGCGAGGGAAAGGGGCGGCUCGGCUCGGCUCAGCGGGGGCCGCUCCUGCCGGCUGCCCCGAGGGGGCCCCCCCGGGCGCCGCGACGAGCGGCUCUGGGGAAGCGCUGAGCGUACGGGCGGCGCGGGUGAGCCGGCCGGCAGCGCCGUCAGCCUCCCCGCAAGCCUAAUGGGCGCGUGAGAUGUGUGGUGCCGGUGAAAGGCAGUUUUAAACUUGAAAAUGCCUGGCUUUGUGCCUGUAACUUACCGCUCGUAUGGACCCCGUAACUAACCGAGCCGCCGGUGUGCUGGAGCCCUUUAAAUGCUCGUCGACGGCUUUAGUAAACGGGAAGGCUGUGCGAGUGCGCAGACCCUGAUCCAAAUAAAAAGCCAAAGCAUCGACAGUCUGACCUGCGCUGUUCUUCACCUCGCUGGCAGCUAGCCAGUCCCUCUGAGCCUGCCCAGAGCCAUCGCCACGCCAGCAGCAAGCACAUUCCCAGUGAAAGCCCCGGCCUGCCAUAAAUCUGUGCUGGCAACAGACCCUGGGACAAAUCCUUCAGACAAUCCCAGGCUCCGAGAAGUCAGCAGACCUGUUCAUGUGACUUGGAAAACUAUGAGUUAACACUGCUCUGCUCUGCCUGAAGUCCGUGAUAAAUCAAUAAUGACUUUAACUGAAAUGAGGUCAGUCCUGGGAAAAAGCAAAAUACAUGCCUCACAUCUGUUAAAAACGCACAAGAUGGACAAAACAAGACGUUCCCCGUAACUAUGCAGAUGAACCUGUCUGAUUUACUUGGGCCCUCUGCUAGCAGUCGUUGUUGGGAGGACGUGGGUAAGGAAUGUCAAUUAUACAUUAAUAUUCAAAUAAAGCCUCCCGCGGUUGUUCUGCAAGGAGGUUCCCUCCUCCGUAACCUAUAAAAGAGACCCUUGCAACAUACGCUAGGGGGCGGGGGGCCCCUGCGCAGGGACGCCUCCUCGGCAGCCGGAGUAGCUGCUUGACAUAAACACAUCUGCAGUCGCAACUCGGUUACGCUGUGUGACAAUCCUCUGAGGGGAUUUUUAUAAUAAUCGGAUUCCUGCAAAAUACAUUAGGUGCUCCUGUAGCCCUCUGUUGGAGGAUUUAUCCGUGAAAUGUCUCCCGUUGCAAAAGCCCUGACGCCGCCGGAGCUGGUGUUUCGAAGCCACGUUGUUUGCUGGAUCCCACCACGCUGCUCACACGCUCAGGUUCAGCCCUGCUUGUCUCCUCUGCUGGCACAGUUGUACCAUGGCUGGUGUUCUCGGCGCUGGAGCUACAGCUGUAGCAGUAAUGAUGAGAAAUCUGAGAGAAUGUAGGCAAAGAUGUAUUUUUUACUCCCCUAAGAGGCAAGGAGAAAAGUGUCCUAUUUUGAUUUUUGUUUAAAAAAAAAAGCAAGGCUUAAUGCCUUUCUGUUUCUUUCUGCUUCUGAACUUCACUCACGUACUCACAUCAAGCAGCAGUUUCCUAAAGAAUCCAUUGUCAUACUUCUGCCAGCUUCUCUGCACAGAAGCACUUAGAAUAGUUUAUCUUGCUAAGUUUUAAAAUAAAUUAAAUAAGCUUGUUUUAAACCCCUUUCCCUUCAGCAGGAGUGGCCAUUCCUAAAAUAGCCUUUACUGGCAUUUAGUAUAUUUAACUUUGCAUUAACACUAUUUAAUCAAGACUUAAAUUAGGUUUUGAACCAACGUAGUUAAACUGGUUGAAGCCAGUUUGAUUUUCAGUUAUACAAUAACUGAAUAGUUUAUUACAUUUUCGGAUAAAUGAAAUAGGCGAGUUCAUACAGGGAUUUUCUACUGAUCAAACAAAGCAGUUUUAGGGCAAAUAAAUCUACAGUUAAACCACUGUGGCUUUUCAGAACCUUGAGGCUUUACUUUUCCUCUCGUACAAUGAAACUGUAAGUUGAAGAAAAAAACAGGAGAUUUCUUUUAUGUACUGGGGAGGUUCAGCAUAGAUCUCAGAUUAAGGAAAUUACAGUAACUAGUACCUCCUCAUCUUCUUUAUAACUUCCCUCCUUUCUUCCCCAUCUGAGAAGCAUCAAUUGCUUCCAGAAGGACUUCAGAAGUUAAUUAUUUUUAAAUUCUGCAAGGUCUUGCACUUUGCUAAUGAAUCAUACCUCUCACCUGUAAUUUUUCAUAAGCAUGGUUAAGCUUGCCUUUUUCCAUUCCGUUGCCAUAUUUCACCCAAAUCACCUUGGUGUUCCCAUACAUCUCACAGAUGUUUUCAUAUAACAGUAAUAUGUGUUUCCAGAGCAGCAAAACUUUGCAGGCAUUAUGGGUGACACUCAUCCUUGGUCAAAAACAGUCUUCAUGAAACACAGUCAUACCGCAACUCUCACAGACGGGCCAGAGUUGACUGUUGGUGGUGGAUAAGCUCUAUCCAUUUUGGCUUGUCCGUAUUUGUCUCCCAAAGCCCAGGUAGAGCCUGGAGGUCGUCUCAGCCGGGGCUGGUUGAAGUACAGCUGGUAUUUAACAGUUCACAUAACAAUAUACAAUAGUCAAGGAGAGAGAAAGAAAAAAGAACGGCACGUAGACCUGACAUUGUCAAGGUGAAGUUAGCCUGGCAUAAAGCCAUUAGCCAGUAAAGAAUUACAGAGGAGAGGACGUUGCAAAUAAAUAAAAAUCACAGGCCUUCAUGUGAAUACAAGCCAGAGGUUUUCCAAAAUGUCUGUGGCAUCUGUGGAGGUGUAUUUGCUUUUUCCUAAAUCCACAUGAGGAACUGGAUAUUUGCACAAACAGAAACAGUGUGGUCUUAUUCUAAGUAGGAGGGUGAAAUAGCAGAAAAGACAAUGCGCUGUGGUAGAGCCGAUGUGAGCACCUGAGCAAAGGGAGGUGUUGCAGCAGAAUUUGGAUCAGUGCUCAGUGAUGUGGCCUGAAUUCUCUGACUUUGGCCCUCUGCAAAGCAGCCCGGUGAAAAUCUAGACCUGGGGCAGGCAAUCUGCUUGGUUCAGUCAGGGGCUUUUCCGUGCUCGAGAUCCUUGGUAAAAGAAUACCACCGCCCUGUGGACAGAUUGCCUGACAGUCACCGGGCAGUUCAAUUCCAGCAUCUGUGCUGUCACUGAAGGUGGCACGAAACUCGGUGAGACAGGGGGUGGGUGUAGUGCUGUCAGAAGAGCUGCAAUACUCAUAUCCAAAAGAAAAAUCAAUAGUUCUUCAUGACAUGUAGGGAAGAUGCAGUUUCCUCAUCUUCCUGAUCAGGUCAGAUGAGUUUACUCUUACAAAUGUCAGGAAAAAGCAAAUGCAACUCUGCUGAUACCUUUGUGUUAUUUGUGGACACCUUCAGCUUGUAUUCAAACGUGAAUACAAAAGCCGUGGUAAGUAAUGUCAAAAUCAGAUAUAUUAUUUUAAAAGAAGAAAGAUGCCUUCACUGUAAUUUAGAAAGGGAAACAGUAAUGGUGGUGACUUUCUGUAUGAGCAAGAGUAGCAUAUGAGACCAACAGUUCCCAUGUACUCAUUUCAAAUGCUGCAUUUGAGACACUUUGGGCUUCAUUUUUCUACGUGCUGAGCAAACAAUACUCGGCACUUCAUGAAAGUCAUGAAGUUCAUGAAAGUCAUGGCUCAGUCCAGACUGGGUUCCUUUUAGACGUGCAGAAACAGAAUUACUGGCCAGUUUUGAAAAUGUUGGUCUUUACCUCCCCCUGCCUUCGUUUUCCCAUCUGCAUGGAAAAAAUGGCAAUUACCCUGACAGAGAAGUGCCUUGAGGCAUCCCCUCCAGGGAGGGGAUAGCAACGUGCUAUGUCAUUAAUGAAGAUGAGCGGUGCCCCCUGUGCUGCACACAAUGCCGACGCUUAGAUCAUUUCUCACCCACCUCUGCUUUCCUCCCUAAACUGCAUUUCUGUCUCCUGUGUCCUUCUCAGAGCUUUUCACACUCCUGUUUAUUUCAACAUUUAUACAGGAGGUCCCAUAACAAUAUCAGAUUCAUUUCAUUCUUCCACCCAGUGCAGCUAUCUUAAAUCAUUUCACCUCUUAAAGUAUUAUUUCUUAUCUCUGCAGGCCAGUGUGACACUUUUUAUAGACUCAAAGUCUACUCUGCUUAUUCAGGGAAGAUUCCUUGUGAAUGCUGAAUCAAGUCUAGCCUUCAGAUCCCAAUCUGUAGUCAAAAGAGUCAAUGCCACAGCAGAUGCACUCAGCAGGUGAUGGCGGAUGAUGGCAGAUGAGCUUUCCUAGACUUUGAAAAGAUGAACAUGUUCCCACUGUAGAGGGUAUAUCUGAACACAAAACCUCUGUUGAUUGUAAUAUCAGUGCUGAGCUAAUGUGUCGAAUGGUCUCUGAAUAGCUACCUUGUGCACACUAAGGGAGUAAGGAAGCUAGCUCUUCUGAUAGUGAGGAGGGCCUGGAACCACUAGAACCAGAGUAGUUUUGCUGCAGAAACAAAGCGGGAGAUUUGAUCGGCAAGGAAAGAGAGCCUGUGGCUUGGGCACUGAUUUAGGAUACUGGUAGUCCAGGUUGGCUUCCCAGUUCCUGCACAAACUUCCCAAAUGUUCAUGCAAAACAGAGAUGGGAACCUAAGGCCUGACUUGUUCCUUAAAAAAUAAACUCUUGGACAGA